GAUGAACGCUGGCGGCGUGCCUAAUACAUGCAAGUCGGGCGAACGGACGAGAAGCUUGCUUCUCUGAUGUUAGCGGCGGACGGGUGAGUAACACGUGGAUAACCUACCUAUAAGACUGGGAUAACUUCGGGAAACCGGAGCUAAUACCGGAUGAUAUUUUGAACCGCAUGGUUCAAAAGUGAAAGGCGGUCUUGCUGUCACUUAUAGAUGGAUCCGCGCUGCAUUAGCUAGUUGGUAAGGUAACGGCUUACCAAGGCAACGAUGCAUAGCCGACCUGAGAGGGUGAUCGGCCACACUGGAACUGAGACACGGUCCAGACUCCUACGGGAGGCAGCAGUAGGGAAUCUUCCGCAAUGGGCGAAAGCCUGACGGAGCAACGCCGCGUGAGUGAUGAAGGUCUUCGGAUCGUAAAACUCUGUUAUUAGGGAAGAACAUAUGUGUAAGUAACUGUGCACAUCUUGACGGUACCUAAUCAGAAAGCCACGGCUAACUACGUG
rnacentral:rRNA from 1 species